rnacentral:rRNA from 1 species
UCUGGCGGCGCGCCUAACACAUGCAAGUCGAACGAGAAUCAGCUGAUGAAGUUUUCGGAUGGAUUUGGUUGAGGAAAGUGGCGGACGGGCGAGUAACGCGUGAGCAACCAACCUCGUACUGGGGGAUAACGUCGGGAAACCGGCGCUAAUACCGCAUGACAUUACGGGAUCGCAUGGUCUUGUAAUCAAAGCUCCGGCGGUGCGAGACGGGCUCGCGUCCAAUUAGCUAGUUGGUGAGGUAACGGCUCACCAAGGCGACGAUUGGUAGCCGAACUGAGAGGUUGAUCGGCCGCAUUGGGACUGAGACACGGCCCAGACUCCUACGGGAGGCAGCAGUGGGGAAUCUUGCGCAAUGGGGGAAACCCUGACGCAGCGACGCCGCGUGAAGGAAGAAGGCCUUCGGGUUAUAAACUUCUUUGGUCGGGGAAGAAAGAGACGGUACCCGAGGAACAAGCCACGGCUAACUACGUGCCAGCAGCCGCGGUAAUACGUAGGUGGCGAGCGUUGUCCGGAAUUACUGGGCGUAAAGGGCGUGUAGGCGGGGGUACAAGUCAGGUGUGAAAUACCGCGGCUCAACUGCGGGGGUGCAUCUGAAACUGUACUUCUUGAGUGUCGGAGAGGAAAGCGGAAUUCCCAGUGUAGCGGUGAAAUGCGUAGAGAUUGGGAGGAACACCAGUGGCGAAGGCGGCUUUCUGGACGACAACUGACGCUGAGGCGCGAAAGCGUGGGGAGCGAACAGGAUUAGAUACCCUGGUAGUCCACGCUGUAAACGAUGGAUACUAGGUGUAGGAGGUAUCGACCCCUUCUGUGCCGGANUUAACACGAUAAGUAUCCCGCCUGGGGAGUACGGNCGCAAGGCUGAAACUCAAAUGAAUUGACGG